ACUGUCAUUUCAGUAAACGCCCUACUGAAGUAGCUUGCGAUCAAAAUUUGUUUUUAGCAAAAAUUUUAACAAUUUUAUUUGACAAUAAAACAUUAUUGUGAAAAUUUAACUAAAUAAUGACUGAUGUGGAGGCUAGACUUGCUGAAAUUCAGCGCACUCUAAAUAGGCUUGGGGAAAAUGUUGAGCAAUUAUCUCAAACUCAGAAGUUUCGGGUUAGUUACCAUGCUUAGCUUAUGGUUUCUUGUUUUUUAGAUUAUUCAGAUUUUAUUAUUUAUUUUCGAAAGCAUCGUAUCGUUUUCAAAAUCAUUGUAUACAACGACAUUGAAAUAGUCACACCUGUACCUUGUGUAGUAUAGUAUAUUGUGUGACACUUUGCCUAAACAUCCAACUUUGAAUCAAAAUGCCUAGAUGAAUAUGUUUGAAAGCCGUGAUAGGUGAACCGGAUAUCUAUGAACGGUUUUGCAAUAUUCAUUGUUCAUUGUUAGUACGGAUGUUUCUUAUGCACUAUAAUCAAUAUAUUAUUCUCUUUAUAGUUCAUACUUCCUGUUAUUGUUGACUAAAUAUUAUUGAAGAAUUGGACCAGAUAUUGGCCCUUUACUGUAAAAAAAAGAUGUUUUUUACGAUUUAAAAUUUGAUGUUCACACUGCUGAUUAAUAUUAAAUUUAUUUUAAUACUUUAUCAGGUGGCUGAGUCAAACACUGCGAAGGGAAAUGUUUUUAGUUUUGGUGAUGAUGAAAAUGAAGAAAGAGGAAACUGGACUGGUAGGCUGGAUUUCUUGCUGUCAUGUCUUGGUUAUGCUGUAGGUUUGGGGAAUGUUUGGAGGUUUCCUUAUUUAUGCUAUAAAAACGGAGGAGCCGUAUUUUUUGUCCCUUACGUCAUUAUGUUAGCUUUUGUUGGUAUGCCAGUUUUUAUGUUCGAACUCUCCAUUGGUCAAUUUACCAGUUCUGGAGCUUUAACUUGCUGGAAAUUUGCUCCAUUAUUCAAAGGCGUAGGAGUCGGGAUGGUAAUCGUUUCUGGAAUGGUAGGAGUUUACUAUAACAUGAUAAUCGGAUGGUCUAUUUGGUACCUUAUUUCAUCCUUUAUAAAUGUAAAGGAUUUGGAAUGGAGUGACUGUGAUAAAAAAUGGAAUAAUCCAAAUUGCACAGGGUUAAUGAAUAAGGACGCGGCACUAAUGUGCAAUUCAUCAAUAAAGGAUGAAGGCUUUGAUAAUAUUUCCAGAGGGCCGGAUGGUUGGUGUUAUGUUUCAAGAAAUCUAACUUUCGGAAAUUUCAGAGAUACGUUUCAUAAUGUUCCAAUAGGAAUUUACGAUAAAGACCUACACAAAGCUCUAAAAACAAAUCACGAGAAUCAUACGAAAAUGGAACUACCAACAGAGCAAUAUCUAUACAACUACAUGCUUAAAAGAAAUGAUUUUGAAAAUGGAAAGUUAGUUACAGAGUAUAACAUGGAUAAUUUUGGAUCCGUCCAGUGGGACUUAACUUUGGCUUACAUUGCUGCAUGGAUUAUUGUGUUUUUGUCUUUGUGUAAAGGAGUAAAAUCUUCUGGAAAAGUUGUUUAUUUCACAGCUCUCUUCCCGUAUGUUGUCCUUAUAAUUCUUUUUGUAAGAGGAAUUAUUUUGGAUGGUUCGAAAGAUGGCAUAGAUUUUUAUCUUAUAAACGUGGACACUAGUAAAUUAGAGGAUUCAGUUGUUUGGAAGGAUGCUGCAGUUCAAAUCUUUUUUUCGUUGUCGGCUGCCUGGGGUGGUCUAAUAUGCUUGUCUAGUUACAAUCGAUUUCAUAAUGAUUGUUUGAGAGAUACAUUAAUUGUUUCGAUAGGAAACUGCUUGACAUCUUUCUUUGCUGGUUUCGUGAUAUUUUCUUUUAUAGGCUUUCUUGCACGUGAAACGGAACAAGAAGUCGAAGACGUUGCUACGAGUGGUAUUGGUUUAGCCUUUACAGUUUAUACAUACGCUGUCACCCUUAUGCCUGUUGAAGGACUUUGGGCUGUUCUUUUUUUCUUGAUGUUAAUAACUCUAGGGCUAGAUUCUGAAUUCGCUCUUGUUGAGACAGUAACCACGUCAAUCAUCGAUCAAUGGGAGAGCUCAUUGAGACCUAAAAAAAGUUUGGUUAUUUUUAUUACUUGUGUUGUCUUUUUUCUGCUUGGAUUACCAAUGUGCUGUAACGCUGGAGGUCAUAUGCUUCAAUUGGUGGAUACUUUCGCUGGUGGAUGGAAUGUUAUGUUAAUAGCCUUGUGCGAAUGCCUUGGAAUUAUAUAUGUCUAUGGUGGAUUUAGAUUUUGUAAGGAUAUUAAAAUAAUGAUUGGUCAAAGUGGAUGCUGUGGUGCUUUACCUUGGGAAUGCUGUAAAUUUUGGUGGCUGUUGAACUGGGCAAUUCUAACACCUAUUGGUGUUUUGUUUAUUAUGAUAUUUUCUUGGGUUAAGUACGAAAGAGCAACAUGGGAUAGCUAUGUAUACCCUGAUUGGGCACAAGCAUUAGGCUGGCUCAUGACUUUAGCUGUGGUGGCUGGAAUAGUUAUUACACCGAUUUUCCUAGCUAUAUUAGCAAUUAGAGAAGGAAAAAGCUUGAAGUCUUUGAUAACGCCUACACGCGAUUGGGGCCCAGCCCUUUCGCAGCAUAGGCGACUUGUUGACUACGUAGAUGAUUUUGUUAUUGAUCCAAAAUCUGAUGGAGAGCUAGAUUUGCAUGAUGUUAAGGUUAAUGUUGUUAGCAAUGAUAAAUCAGCCAAAACAAAAGCCAAUCGCAAUAAUAACAUACUUCAGAUUGCUUCUUUCAGCUCUGGAACAAAUUUUUAAUUUUCUUACUUUUCAUAGUUUGUAAAUUUUAAUUACUCUUUCCUUUUUACUAAUAUAUCGUGCCCUCUUUUAUUCAUAUGAUGACUGUGCGCUUUGAAGUCAGAGCUAGAAAUAUUUUUCAAAAACUUUCAAACAAAACAAAGUUAUUUGAUUCACGUUUAAUGAAUACUUCAUGAAAUAAAAACAAUCUUUUUGCCUGGAAGUAGCCUUUAUCAAUAAUACCUUUUAAAAAUAAAAGACCGUCACAAUAUAUGAUUCCUAAUUUAAAUUUUUUUCUUUGUAGAUUGGAAUGCAAGGGAAGACAAAUAAGGGGUAUGAAUAAUUGUUAUGUACAACUACUAUAUUUUCAGUUUCGACUUAAAAAUUUUUAUUUACUACUUGCCUAACAUAAUCGCUAAAGACCCGCAUCUAAAUGAAAUAAGAUUAAAAUGAUUAUAUUCAUCAAUGAGUUUGAUAUUCUGUAAUUAGAUUUAGAUGUACAAAUUUUAUAAAUAUAGUAACUUUUUGCACUUUUGUUUUUAUUCAAACAAAUACAUUCAAAUUUAAAAAAGUA
rnacentral:misc_RNA from 1 species